AGAUCGGGAUAACACCUGGAAACAGAUGCUAAUACCGGAUAACAACAGAUGAUGCCUAUCAACUGUUUAAAAGAUGGUUCUGCUAUCACUCUUGGAUGGACCUGCGGUGCAUUAGCUAGUUGGUAGGGUAACGGCCUACCAAGGCGAUGAUGCAUAGCCGAGUUGAGAGACUGAUCGGCCACAUUGGGACUGAGACACGGCCCAAACUCCUACGGGAGGCAGCAGAA
rnacentral:rRNA from 1 species